rnacentral:rRNA from 1 species
GAUGAACGCUGGCGGCGUGCCUAAUACAUGCAAGUCGAGCGAACGGACGAGAAGCUUGCUUCUCUGAUGUUAGCGGCGGACGGGUGAGUAACACGUGGAUAACCUACCUAUAAGACUGGGAUAACUUCGGGAAACCGGAGCUAAUACCGGAUAAUAUUUUGAACCGCAUGGUUCAAAAGUGAAAGACGGUCUUGCUGUCACUUAUAGAUGGAUCCGCGCUGCAUUAGCUAGUUGGUAAGGUAACGGCUUACCAAGGCAACGAUGCAUAGCCGACCUGAGAGGGUGGUCGGCCACACUGGAACUGAGACACGGUCCAGACUCCUACGGGAGGCAGCAGUAGGGAAUCUUCCGCAGUGGGCGAGAGCCUGACGGAGCAACGCCGCGUGAGUGAUGAAGGUCUUCGGAUCGUAAAACUCUGUUAUUAGGGAAGAACAUAUGUGUAAGUAACUGUGCACAUCUUGACGGUACCUAAUCAGAAAGCCACGGCUAACUACGUG